CUUUGCCCUUCUCUCUCUUCCCUUUUUCUUGCAAAAACCCGAGAAGCCGCCAUCGUUUUCUCUUUCUCUCUAGUCCUAAAAAUGGUAAAUUUGUAGAGUAAGAAUGAAAUACACAGAUUUUGCAGCACCAUUGGCGUGAAACAAACUAAUUCCAAGAUUUAUUUUUGCCCAGAUCUUUCCAAAAUCGGUAAUAUACUUUUCUUUUUUAAAACUAUUCAACUAAAAGUCGAUUAUUGUUGUCCUAUUUGUAGUAUUAUGUUCAUUGUUGCUCGAUUUCUGUUGAUUUGAGGUGAAUGGUUUGGAUCGAGUCCCAUGAGGCUCAGAUCCGACCAUUCACUUGCUGUUAAGUCGUUUUAAGCCAUAGAUUAGCUUUACAAGGUUAUUUACUAGGAAAGUUUAGUUGUCCCACAUCAGUAUUUUGAGGGUUUUAACAAUUUUUGGGGUUAGAACCCCACCCUCACCAUGAAAGAAGGUCGAAAAAAAUUAGGGAAAAACAAAAAGUGGCUAGAAACAUCGAAUUCAAGCCUCUUAGUAUAAAAAUUUUAAGACUUUGACUUAAGUUGAGGUUUUUUCUUAGUUCUAAAAUUUGUUUCUUACUUGUUUUGAGUUUGGUGUGGCUGAGUGUGGGUUUUGGAAGUACAAAAAGGCUUUCAAGUUCAAUCUUGACCACCACUGCACUUUAAAAAGGUAGACAGGGAGGCGAGCUUGAGCCAGAUCCGUAGGAGCUGAUAGCAGAUUGUUCCGGAGGUGCUUGAUUAUUAUUUUGUGUAUAUUUGUAUAUUUUGGGCUUGACGGGGUCCUGUCCCGUCUAUGUGUGUUGUAUUCCAGUAAAGGCUCGUAGAUACACGAUGCGAGUUAUGUGGUCUCACAAGGUUACUAAGAUGUACAUGUAUAAAACCAUUAUUUUGAUAGCCUAAAGGCUUAUACAUAUAAAGAUAUUA